rnacentral:rRNA from 1 species
CCUACGGGAGGCAGCAGUGAGGAAUAUUGGUCAAUGGACGAGAGUCUGAACCAGCCAAGUAGCGUGAAGGAUGACUGCCCUAUGGGUUGUAAACUUCUUUUAUAAAGGAAUAAAACGAGGCACGUGUGCCUUUUUGCAUGUACUUUAUGAAUAAGGAUCGGCUAACUCCGUGCCAGCAGCCGCGGUAAUACGGAGGAUCCGAGAGUUAUCCGGAAUUAUUGGGUUUAAAGGGAGCGUAGAUGGGUUGUUAAGUCAGUUGUGAAAGUUUGCGGCUCAACCGUAAAAUUGCAAUGGAUACUGGCAGUCUUGAGUACAGUUGAGGUAAGCGGAAUUCGUGGUGUAGCAGUGAAAUGCUUAGAUAGCACGAAGAACCCCGAUUGCGAAGGCAGCUUACUAAACUGUGACUGACAUUGAUGCUCGAAAGUGUGGGUAUCAAACAGGAUUAGAUACCCGAGUAGUC